rnacentral:rRNA from 2 species
GGCGGACGGGUGAGUAAUGCUUAGGAAUCUGCCUAUUAGUGGGGGACAACAUUCCGAAAGGAAUGCUAAUACCGCAUACGCCCUACGGGGGAAAGCAGGGGAUCUUCGGACCUUGCGCUAAUAGAUGAGCCUAAGUCGGAUUAGCUAGUUGGUGGGGUAAAGGCCUACCAAGGCGACGAUCUGUAGCGGGUCUGAGAGGAUGAUCCGCCACACUGGGACUGAGACACGGCCCAGACUCCUACGGGAGGCAGCAGUGGGGAAUAUUGGACAAUGGGCGCAAGCCUGAUCCAGCCAUGCCGCGUGUGUGAAGAAGGCCUUUUGGUUGUAAAGCACUUUAAGCGAGGAGGAGGCUCCUUUAGUUAAUACCUAAAGUGAGUGGACGUUACUCGCAGAAUAAGCACCGGCUAACUCUGUGCCAGCAGCCGCGGUAAUACAGAGGGUGCGAGCGUUAAUCGGAUUUACUGGGCGUAAAGCGUGCGUAGGCGGCUUUUUAAGUCGGAUGUGAAAUCCCUGAGCUUAACUUAGGAAUUGCAUUCGAUACUGGAAAGCUAGAGUAUGGGAGAGGAUGGUAGAAUUCCAGGUGUAGCGGUGAAAUGCGUAGAGAUCUGGAGGAAUACCGAUGGCGAAGGCAGCCAUCUGGCCUAAUACUGACGCUGAGGUACGAAAGCAUGGGGAGCAAACAGGAUUAGAUACCCUGGUAGUCCAUGCCGUAAACGAUGUCUACUAGCCGUUGGGGCCUUUGAGGCUUUAGUGGCGCAGCUAACGCGAUAAGUAGACCGCCUGGGGAGUACGGUCGCAAGACUAAAACUCAAAUGAAUUGACGGGGGCCCGCACAAGCGGUGGAGCAUGUGGUUUAAUUCGAUGCAACGCGAAGAACCUUACCUGGCCUUGACAUACUAAGAACUUUCCAGAGAUGGAUUGGUGCCUUCGGGAACUUAGAUACAGGUGCUGCAUGGCUGUCGUCAGCUCGUGUCGUGAGAUGUUGGGUUAAGUCCCGCAACGAGCGCAACCCUUUUCCUUAUUUGCCAGCGGGUAAUGCCGGGAACUUUAAGGAUACUGCCAGUGACAAACUGGAGGAAGGCGGGGACGACGUCAAGUCAUCAUGGCCCUUACGGCCAGGGCUACACACGUGCUACAAUGGUCGGUACAAAGGGUUGCUACCUCGCGAGAGGAUGCUAAUCUCAAAAAGCCGAUCGUAGUCCGGAUCGCAGUCUGCAACUCGACUGCGUGAAGUCGGAAUCGCUAGUAAUC